rnacentral:rRNA from 1 species
UACGUAGGGUGCGAGCGUUAAUCGGAAUUACUGGGCGUAAAGCGUGCGCAGGCGGUUAUAUAAGACAGAUGUGAAAUCCCCGGGCUCAACCUGGGAACUGCAUUUGAGACUGUAUAGCUAGAGUGCGGCAGAGGGGGGUGGAAUUCCUCGUGUAGCAGUGAAAUGCGUAGAUAUGCGGAGGAACACCGAUGGCGAAGGCAACCCCCUGGGCCUGCACUGACGCUCAUGCGCGAAAGCGUGGGGAGCAAACAGGAUUAGAUACCCUGGUAGUCCACGCCCUAAACGAUGUCAACUGGUUGUUGGGUCUUCACUGACUCAGUGACGAAGCUAACGCGUGAAGUUGACCGCCUGGGGAGUACGGCCGCAAGGUUG